UACAGGGGGUGCAAGCGUUGUUCGGAAUCACUGGGCGUAAAGCGUACGCAGGCGGCUCGCAAGGUCGGGUGUGAAAUCCCGGGGCUCAACCCCGGAACUGCAUUCGAAACCGUCGGGCUUGAGUACGGGAGAGGAGAGCGGAAUUCCUGGUGUAGAGGUGAAAUUCGUAGAUAUCAGGAGGAACACCGGUGGCGAAAGCGGCUCUCUGGCCCGAUACUGACGCUCAUGUACGAGAGCGUGGGGAGCAAACAGG
rnacentral:rRNA from 1 species